rnacentral:rRNA from 1 species
GAUGAACGCUGGCGGCGUGCCUAAUACAUGCAAGUCGAGCGAACGGACGAGAAGCUUGCUUCUCUGAUGUUAGCGGCGGACGGGUGAGUAACACGUGGAUAACCUACCUAUAAGACUGGGAUAACUUCGGGAAACCGGAGCUAAUACCGGAUAAUAUUUUGAACCGCAUGGUUCAAAAGUGAAAGACGGUCUUGCUGUCACUUAUAGAUGGAUCCGCGCUGCAUUAGCUAGUUGGUAAGGUAACGGCUUACCAAGGCAACGAUGCAUAGCCGACCUGAGAGGGUGAUCGGCCACACUGGAACUGAGACACGGUCCAGACUCCUACGGGAGGCAGCAGUAGGGAAUCUUCCGCAAUGGGCGAAAGCCUGACGGAGCAACGCCGCGUGAGUGAUGAAGGUCUUCGGAUCGUAAAACUCUGUUAUUAGGGAAGAACAUAUGUGUAAGUAACUGUGCACAUCUUGACGGUACCUAAUCAGAAAGCCACGGCUAACUACGUGCCAGCAGCCGCGGUAAUACGUAGGUGGCAAGCGUUAUCCGGAAUUAUUGGGCGUAAAGCGCGCGUAGGCGGUUUUUUAAGUCUGAUGUGAAAGCCCACGGCUCAACCGUGGAGGGUCAUUGGAAACUGGAAAACUUGAGUGCAGAAGAGGAAAGUGGAAUUCCAUGUGUAGCGGUGAAAUGCGUAGAGAUAUGGAGGAACACCAGUGGCGAAGGCGACUUUCUGGUCUGUAACUGACGCUGAUGUGCGAAAGCGUGGGGAUCAAACAGGAUUAGAUACCCUGGUAGUCCACGCCGUAAACGAUGAGUGCUAAGUGUUAGGGGGUUUCCGCCCCUUAGUGCUGCAGCUAACGCAUUAAGCACUCCGCCUGGGGAGUACGACCGCAAGGUUGAAACUCAAAGGAAUUGACGGGGACCCGCACAAGCGGUGGAGCAUGUGGUUUAAUUCGAAGCAACGCGAAGAACCUUACCAAAUCUUGACAUCCUUUGACAACUCUAGAGAUAGAGCUUUCCCCUUCGGGGGACAAAGUGACAGGUGGUGCAUGGUUGUCGUCAGCUCGUGUCGUGAGAUGUUGGGUUAAGUCCCGCAACGAGCGCAACCCUUAAGCUUAGUUGCCAUCAUUAAGUUGGGCACUCUAAGUUGACUGCCGGUGACAAACCGGAGGAAGGUGGGGAUGACGUCAAAUCAUCAUGCCCCUUAUGAUUUGGGCUACACACGUGCUACAAUGGACAAUACAAAGGGCAGCGAAACCGCGAGGUCAAGCAAAUCCCAUAAAGUUGUUCUCAGUUCGGAUUGUAGUCUGCAACUCGACUACAUGAAGCUGGAAUCGCUAGUAAUCGUAGAUCAGCAUGCUACGGUGAAUACGUUCCCGGGUCU